AAAUGCAAUCCGUAUUCUUUAAAUUUUUGUUUUUUAACUUUUCAGGAUUUCAGCAUUGUUAAACCCUGAGGUACUGGGACAUAUACAUACAGCCCAAGAAACACGACAGAACAAAUAAGAAAGAAGAAGGAAAGAAGGAAAAGAAUGGAAAAAAAAGGAAAAAAAGAAAAAUGAAAAGAAGAGAACAUAGGAAAGAAUAUAGGAAAAAAAUCAGAAAAAAAAAUGGGAAGGAAAGAACAGAAGAGAAAACAAUGGGACAAGAGAAAGGGAAAAAAAAAAAAAAAAGAAGAAGGAAGGAAUGAAACUUAGAAAAAGACAAUUCCAGUAUAUAUUCUGAAAGGAUUUUCAGUAGAAGACUAAUAAGCCAUAUGCUGCGACAGUACUGUAAGUCAGAGGAAGAAGGCUAUGAAAUGGAGUGGGCACCUACACACAUCAGGACUACUGAGGAGAAAGGUGAAGACAGCCAUGAAGCACACACAUCCUACAGAAUGACUGUGAUAUGGACUACAGUUCUGCACACUGACAGUAUGAGAAGAAAGAAGAAACAGUGA
rnacentral:lncRNA from 1 species